GUGGUAAUGCCGGAUGUUCCAGUUGAUCGCAUGGUCUUCUGGGAAAGCUUUCGCGGUAUGGGAUGGGGUCGCGUCCUAUCAGCUUGACGGCGGGGUAACGGCCCACCGUGGCUUCGACGGGUAGCCGGCCUGAGAGGGCGACCGGCCACAUUGGGACUGAGAUACGGCCCAGACUCCUACGGGAGGCAGCAGUGGGGAAUAUUGCACAAUGGGCGCAAGCCUGAUGCAGCGACGCCGCGUGAGGGAUGGAGGCCUUCGGGUUGUAAACCUCUUUUAUCGGGGAGCAAGCGUGAGUGAGUUUACCCGUUGAAUAAGCACCGGCUAACUACGUGCCAGCAGCCGCGGUAAUACGUAGGGUGCAAGCGUUAUCCGGAAUUAUUGGGCGUAAAGGGCUCGUAGGCGGUUCGUCGCGUCCGGUGUGAAAGUCCAUCGCUUAACGGUGGAUCCGCGCCGGGUACGGGCGGGCUUGAGUGCGGUAGGGGAGACUGGAAUUCCCGGUGUAACGGUGGAAUGUG
rnacentral:rRNA from 1 species